rnacentral:rRNA from 1 species
UACGAAGGGGGCUAGCGUUGCUCGGAAUCACUGGGCGUAAAGGGUGCGUAGGCGGGUCUUUAAGUCAGGGGUGAAAUCCUGGAGCUCAACUCCAGAACUGCCUUUGAUACUGAGGAUCUUGAGUUCGGGAGAGGUGAGUGGAACUGCGAGUGUAGAGGUGAAAUUCGUAGAUAUUCGCAAGAACACCAGUGGCGAAGGCGCUCACUGGCCCGAUACUGACGCUGAGGCGCGAAAGCGUGGGGAGCAACAGG